UAUGUGAUCGUCUCUCGCAUAUCAAUAAGCGGAGGAAAAGAAACUAACAAGGAUUCCCCUAGUAACGGCGAGUGAAGCGGGAAGAGCUCAAAUUUGAAAUCUUAAAGGGUUUCCCUUUACGAAUUGUAGUUUAAAGAAGUGUCUUCUGUUGAGGUUUUGGUAAAAGUUCUUUGGAAUAGGACAUCAUAGGAGGGUGAGAAUCCCGUAUUUGACCUUUACUUUCAACUUUGUGAUACACUUUCAAAGAGUCGGAUUGUUUGGGAAUGCAGUCCAAAAUGGGUGGUAAAUUUUCAUCUAAAGCUAAAUAUUGGCGAGAGACCGAUAGCGAACAAGUACCGUGAGGGAAAGAUGAAAAGAACUUUGAAAAGAGAGUUAAACAGUACGUGAAAUUGUCAAAAGGGAAGCGUUUGACACCAGUGUUGUUUUUCUGAAAAUCAAUUAAAGAACUGUUUAUGCUAAGCUGUUUAGACUUUAUCAGCUAACUGUUUAGUUUUGAGCUUUUCUUUAAUGCACUUUUCAGUUAACAAGUCAACAUCAAUUUCUUUUGCUGUAAAAAAGCUUGAGGAAGGUGGCUUGAGAUUCGUCUUAAGUGUUUAUAGCCUCUUGCCUAUGCAGUCGGAGAGAUUGAGGUCUGCAGCGUAGAUCCUUCGGGGCUAAAUGCAUUUGUGCUAAGUUAUAGCAUUUUAUAGACAACUUGUUGACUAUGAUUUGUCUUGUAGCUUACUCGCUUAUGUUAUUUUACCUACGCUUAGGAUGUUGACUGAUAUGUAGUCGUA
rnacentral:rRNA from 1 species